rnacentral:lncRNA from 1 species
UGUGUCCUGGAGGCCAGCUGUGCCAGGAGGCUGUGCGCCCCAGCCACGUGCAGCUUGAGUCACUUAAAGCUUGUGAAGCAUCUUGAGUUAAUUUGCAGCCCAGCAAACAGCAGCAGCACGAAUGGAGAUCUCCCCGCUGUGCUCGUCGUGUAGGACACAUGGCACAAAUCACUUUGUUUUGCCAUCUGCAACUUCCAAACCACUCGAGCGCUGGAGCCUUUUCGUUACCUUCUAAUCGCUUCUGCUUUGCCCCAGCAAACUGUGAUCCUGACUGAUAUCCUGCACUGUGUUCUGGCAAGCUGGGUGGAAACAGGCGGCCACCAUGGUAACGGGAAACACUGAGAUGCUGAACGUGGGCAGUGCAGAACGUCUGCAUAAUAGAUGGUACUUUGGGUUGGGUACCUAAUGUGUGUUUCUUUGUCCCCGCCACUCUAAACAAUAAGCUCUGAAGGGAGAUGGAUGAAAUAUUAAUAAGCAGAAAAGCCAAGGAAAUGAUGCAGACGGGCCCAAGGCUGAAGCAGCUUGUGGGCUGCCCCAGUGUUGAGUGAGUUCUGUGGGAUGCAACCACCCAACAGGAGGUAUGGGGCAGAGGCCACAUCUCUGGGUGGGCCACGAGUUUCCUCCGAAGGCUUUAGGUUAUCUCUUAGAGGUGGUGUAAACCUGUUUCCACAAACCCUGAUCUCCUUUUCCUUAGAAACAGCAGAAAAUUUCCCUGCAGCCUGAUCCUUUAGAGCGCUCCUUUGGGCAACAUGAAGGAAGAGCACACGAUAGCUCCAAGAAAAAGGUGGGUGGGAAAAUAAAUGCAGGAGUCCUGUGUCAUCCCUCACAACCAUUGCUCAUUCAUCCAAAUUCCUGGCAAAAUUACUCCACCAGAAAAAAUACAACCAAAGCACGUAGAUCUCAGCAACAGAGAAUGAUUUACUUCCUCUCCCUUCCUUGCAAGAUAAGGAACAAAGAGUGGAAAACAUUUGCAA